rnacentral:tRNA from 1 species
GUUCUUAUAGUUGAGUUACAACAGUGGUUUUUCGUAUCACAGGUCUUGGUUAAAAUCCUAGUGAGAACU